rnacentral:rRNA from 1 species
CACGUAGGGCGCAAGCGUUGUCCGGAAUUAUUGGGCGUAAAGAGCUCGUAGGCGGUCUGUUGCGUCCGCUGUGAAAACUCGGGGCUUAACCCCGAGCCUGCAGUGGAUACGGGCAGACUAGAGGUAGGUAGGGGAGAAUGGAAUUCCCGGUGUAGCGGUGAAAUGCGCAGAUAUCGGGAGGAACACCGGUGGCGAAGGCGGCUCUCUGGGCCUGUCCUGACGCUCAUGCACGAAAGCGUGGGGAGCGAACAGG